ensembl:lncRNA
AUGAUGGUGGAGCGUUUGAAGCAGGACGGCACUUCACACAACUCCAGAGAUCUGUUGAAGAUCUGUGAAAAGAUGGGGGCCAAUUGGUCAGCACAGGUUCUCAGACAGGCUGGUGUAACACCAUCUGGGCCUGGUGCUUUUCUUCUUUUGUUCUUCCUGGAUGUGGGGUGUUUCAAAUCUACAAUAAAACUCAUUCAGGUCGUUAGCAAGUCGUUGAUUAGCCUCAGUGCAGGGAGAUGGUGUCUUGUAGAUGGUGAUGGCUCUCAGUCCUCUCCACACUGAAGUUGAGUCGUUGGAAGUAAACUGGUCUUCCAACUUUUUAGAGUAGGUCCUUUUAGCCGCUCUAAUCUCUUUGUUCAGUGUGUUUCUGGCCUGAUUAUACAAGACUCUGUCCCCAUUUCUGUAGGCAUCCUCUUUGGCCUGACGAAGAUGUCUGAGUUUUGCUGUAAACCAUGGCUUAUCGUUGUUGAAUGUUAAAUAAGUCCUGGUAGGAAUACAUAUAUCCUCACAAAAACUAAUAUAGGAUGUUACAGUCUCUGUGAGUUCAUCCAGAUCGGUGGUAGCAGCUUCAAAAACACUCCAAUCAGUGAGGUCAAAACAAGCUUGUAAAUCCUGCUCUGUUUCGUUGGUCCAUCUCUUUAUAGUCUUUACUACAGGUUUAGCAGAUUUAAGUUUCUGCCUGUAGGUUGGUAUAAGAUGAACCAGACAGUGAUCAGACAGUCCCAAAGCUGCUCGUGGAACAGAGUGAUAUGCAUCCCUUAUUGUGGUGUAACAGUGAUCCAAUAUAUUACUGUCUCUUGUGGGACAUGUAACAUGCUGUCUGUAUUUUGGCAGUUCACGGGAGAGAUUGGCUUUAUUAAAGUCCCCAAGAAUGAUUAAAACAGAGUACGGGUGUUGUUGUUCUGUCUCUGUGAUCUGGUCAGCGAGUUUCUGUAAAGCCAGGCUUACAUGCGCUUGAGGAGGGAUGUAAACGCUCACCAGAAUGAACGAGUGAAACUCCCGCGGCGAAUAGAAUGGCUUGCAGUUGACAAAAAGCACUUCUAGAUCUGAACAGCACAUCUUCUUUAACACAGUUACAUCUGUGCACCACCGUUCAUUGAUAUAAAACAUGUCCCGCCGCCGCGUGAUUUCCCCGUUGAUUCUGCGUCGCGGUCCGCUCUGAACAGCUGAAAGCCCGGCAGAUGGAGCGCGCUGUCCGGUAUGGCGUCAUUGAGCCAGGUUUCCGUGAAACACAGAGCAGCAGAGUGUGAUAAAUCCUUAUUUGUCCGGGAAAGCAGAAGGAGUUCAUCCGUUUUGUUGGGUAGAAAGCGGAGAUUUGCCAGAUGGAUGCUAGGCAGCGGCGUUCGAAAUCCGCGCUUCCUGAGUCUAACGAACUCACCAGCUCGCUUUCCCCGUUUGCGCUUUUUGAAGCGUUUGAUCAGCGCCGCUGCUCCACCGACAACAACGUUCAGUAAAACGUCCGAAUAAUUGAAAUCCGGUAAAAGAUUUUCUGGUGUGUUCUGCCGAAUGUUCAGCAGGUCAUCCCUGGUGAAACUGAUCGUGUUUGACAAACAAAAAACAGGAAAAAACGAACAAAAACAGUACAAACACUGGAGAGCCAAGCACUGAAGCAGCCGUCUGCGGCGCCAUAUGUAAAUAAAUGGUGAAAAUCACUUACUGAGAAACAAUUACCAUCUGAACAGAUUUCUUAUGCAUCUCACAACAAGCAAGAGUAGCCUAGUUAUAACUACAAAAGACAAAAGCCUUCUUUAUUUAACAUUUUCUGAUAAGAAGUGUGCGCUAUAAACGCAAGCAAUUUAUGACAGAGAUACUCCAGCAACAGUAAAAAAGUCAUCUGUGUCAGGAGUUCAACCGAAAACAAUCAAAGGAAAAACGGGACAUCAUACCUUUCUUCUUCUUCUUCUUCUUAUAUGGCCAUUCACUCCUUUGGAGUAUUACCGCCACCUACUGUAUAGCUUAUUUACUUGCAUGGGUGAUGUAUCUGUAUAAUUUUUAUUUAAUUGCCCCACCCACCCCCAAAGGAUCAGAUCCCAUGCUUUAACUGGCGCUGCGUGUUCAGCUCCUCCAGCUUCCACAGUAGGCUCCUCACUCUCUGAGAUGGAUGAAAGCAUUACUACAUCUAUAUCCUAUACUCUAAUCCUGUACACUUUAAAAAGGUUAAAACCGCCAUAUAUACCUGAUUAUCUCGCAAACCCUUUCCCAAAAGGUCCACUACACUCACUGGUUUAUUCUUUAUGUUGCUGAAAAGACUAUUACGCUCAUCAUGAUAUUUAUUACACUUAAAAAAACACAUGCUCUAUUGUUUCUAAUACAUCACACGCAACACACAUACCAUUUUCAUGCUUCCCCAUUAUUGCAAGUGUUGAAUUUAAUCAUGAAUGUCCAAACCUUAAUCUUCAUAUCAUAACUUCUUCCUUUCUAUGUCUUCCAUAAUACUGUUCAUUUUUCCGUACUGAUUUUUCAAUAUUAUAAUACCAACUGCCUGUACUACUAUUUUCCCAUCUUUGUUGCCACAGUUUUAUUAUUUCCUUAUUUAUCACUGAUUUUAUCUCACUUCUUCCCAGGGGUACCUUAAUAUCCACCAAGAUUUUCUUUAAUGCUUCUUUUGCUAAUUGAUCAGCCUUUUCGUUCCCUAUUAUCCCUAUGUGUGCUGGUACCCAACAGAAAUAUACUACUAUACCCUCUGCUUUCAGUCUGUAUAAUAAUGUAUAAAUUUCCACCAACAGGUCUUCUCUAUCAGUUUUUGUUGACAUUAUACUUUUGAGAGCUGAUGAAGAGUCUGAACAAAUUACAACCCUAUUUGGCUUAACCUGUUCAACCCACUGCAAUCCUACUAUUAUAGCACUUAAUUCUGUGGAAUAUACAGAUAAUUUAUCACUUAAUCUUAAGAUUAUUUGUGAUUUAAAUCUGGGAAUAUACACUCCUAUACCCACUUUCUGACUCACUGGGUCUUUAGAUCCAUCUGUAUAAAUCUGUAUAAAAGAAUAAAAUGUUUCUCUCAUAAAACCACUGAUUUCAAAACUAUUACUAUACACUUCUUCUUUAUCCCGGGCAUCUAAUAAUCUCAUUUCAACAACAGGUUCAGUAAUAUUCCAUACUGAUACACCAUGUAGUGGUAUAUUAGGACAGAUAACUUCAUCCUUCAGGUCACACUCCUUGAACCAUUGCUCAUAUUUCCAUCCAAAACUAUUUCCUCCAUUCUUUUUAUAUUCCCAGCAAUCUUUUAAAACUGUUCAUGUAUGGUGAUUUCUUUCACUUCCCUGUAGAUUAACCCAAUACAUCAAAGACAUUUUCUCUCUUCUCAAAUCUAAUGGCAUCUCCCCCAUUUCAACCCUGAUGGCAUCUACAGGGGUUGAUCUUAUUGCCCCACAACAGAUUCUAAGUGCUUUAGAUUGAAUAUUUUCCAAUUUCUUCAUCUCUAAUUUAGAUCCAGCCCCAUACACUGUACAUCCAUAAUCUAUACUAGAGCGCAUUAAUGCUUGAUAUACAUGCAAUAAUGAUCUCUUGCUUGCUCCC